rnacentral:rRNA from 1 species
ACUCCUGCGGGAGGCAGCAGUGGGGAAUAUUGGACACUGGGCGCAAGCCUGAUCCAGCCAUGCCGCGUGAGUGAUGAAGGCCCUAGGGUUGUAAAGCUCUUUCACCGGUGAAGAUAAUGACGGUAACCGGAGAAGAAGCCCCGGCUAACUUCGUGCCAGCAGCCGCGGUAAUACGAAGGGGGCUAGCGUUGUUCGGAUUUACUGGGCGUAAAGCGCACGUAGGCGGACUAUUAAGUCAGGGGUGAAAUCCCGGGGCUCAACCCCGGAACUGCCUUUGAUACUGGUAGUCUUGAGUUCGAGAGAGGUGAGUGGAAUUCCGAGUGUAGAGGUGAAAUUCGUAGAUAUUCGGAGGAACACCAGUGGCGAAGGCGGCUCACUGGCUCGAUACUGACGCUGAGGUGCGAAAGCGUGGGGAGCAAACAGGAUUAGAUACCCCGGUAGUCC